AUUGAACGCUGGCGGCAGGCCUAACACAUGCAAGUCGAGCGGAUGAAGGGAGCUUGCUCCUGGAUUCAGCGGCGGACGGGUGAGUAAUGCCUAGGAAUCUGCCUGGUAGUGGGGGAUAAUGUCCGGAAACGGGCGCUAAUACCGCAUACGUCCUGAGGGAGAAAGUGGGGGAUCUUCGGACCUCACGCUAUCAGAUGAGCCUAGGUCGGAUUAGCUAGUUGGUGGGGUAAAGGCCUACCAAGGCGACGAUCCGUAACUGGUCUGAGAGGAGGAUCAGUCACACUGGAACUGAGACACGGUCCAGACUCCUACGGGAGGCAGCAGUGGGGAAUAUUGGACAGUGGGCGAAAGCCUGAUCCAGCCAUGCCGCGUGUGUGAAGAAGGUCUUCGGAUUGUAAAGCACUUUAAGUUGGGAGGAAGGGCAGUAAGUUGAUACCUUGCUGUUUUGACGUUACCAACAGAAUAAGCACCGGCUAACUUCGUG
rnacentral:rRNA from 1 species